rnacentral:rRNA from 1 species
AUGACCAUUAACAAGGCACAGGGACAAACUAUACCAAAUGUUGGUGUAUACCUCCCUGAACCGGUAUUUUCACACGGGCAACUCUAUGUUGCUCUUUCUAGAGCUAUAUCAAGAAGUAAUAUGAAGAUUCUUACUGUCCCAGAAAAGCAAAAGGAAGGCCAAACCAACUCCAAUGCAAAUUUUACAAAGAACAUAGUCUACAAAGAAGUUCUCAGCCUGUAG